UACGUAGGGUGCAAGCGGUAAUCGGAAUUACUGGGCGUAAAGCGUGCGCAGGCGGUUGUGCAAGACAGAUGUGAAAUCCCCGGGCUUAACCUGGGAAUUGCAUUUGUGACUGCACGGCUAGAGUGUGUCAGAGGGGGGUAGAAUUCCACGUGUAGCAGUGAAAUGCGUAGAUAUGUGGAGGAAUACCGAUGGCGAAGGCAGCCCCCUGGGAUAACACUGACGCUCAUGCACGAAAGCGUGGGGAGCAAACAGG
rnacentral:rRNA from 1 species